rnacentral:rRNA from 1 species
GACGAACCGAGCGAACGUUGUUCGGAAUCACUGGGCUUAAAGGGCGCGUAGGCGGGCUGUCAAGUCUGGGGUGAAAUCCCACGGCUCAACCGUGGAACUGCCUUAGAUACUGACGGCCUCGAGGGAGAUAGGGGCGGGCGGAACUGUGAAUGGAGCGGUGAAAUGCGUUGAUAUUCACAGGAACUCCGGUGGCGAAGGCGGCUCGCUGGAUCUUUUCUGACGCUGAGGCGCGAAAGCUAGGGGAGCAAACGGG